UCUUUUGAAUUAAGGGUCCCUCUGGAUAUAUGCCCAGGAAUGGGACCGCUGAAUCAUAUGGUAAGUCUAUUUUUAGUCUUUUGAGGAAUCUCCAUAGUGUUUUCCAUAAUGGCUGCACUGAACUACAUUGCCACCAGCAUUGUAGGAGGGUUCCCUUUUCUCCACACCAUCUCCAGC